GUAAGGACUGGAGCCGUGUUUUAAACAAUCUCACCAGUUGGGUCCAAUUACCCGAUGAGAGAAUGCUAGCUGGUCCCCUAUGCUCCACCAAGUCCUAAUUGCAGCUGGCCUUUCCGGUGAAGCAGGUCCCACGCUGCCGGCCUCACCUACGGCGCCGCAAAACGCAGGCGCCUUUUGCUGCACUUUACGACUAGCCGGGAGGCGUGGGAGAGCCAGCUCUUGGUCGCGGGGCACCGGACCCGGACUCCAAGGCUGGAGAUUCGCGGGCUGUCGCGGUUGGAAGGCUAGAGGUCACUGGGCGGGGGCAGUCGGUCAAACGCCCCCAGCCUACUUCUGGGGAAAAAAAACCCGCGUACACUCGUUGCUCCGAAUCAGUGACUUAAACAUCCCCUUUCUGGUCCGGGGUUUUGAAUAUCAUUUCUCCAUUCUCCUGUUGUGCACCUUUUACUCCAGCCACAGAGAGCUGAACUCACUCUCCUGAAGUCAAGUGUUUCAUGCCAAAACCAUCUGCCAGGUGGAUUCCUAUUUAUUUUCAAGAAUCGGCUUAAAUGCUCUGUGCUCCAAGAAACAUUUCUUAUACUCGCAGACAUAAAUGGUUCCUUUUCUAUGUUCUCAUUCCUACAUCUCAGCAAAUAAACCCUCCUGUAAUAACUGUUUGAAGGUUUACCAAUGGAGUUUGUAUACUUGGGAGGUAGAGGCAGUGUUUUCUUCAUUUCUGCAACUUUCACAGUAUCUAGGACACAGUGAUGAUGAUGAUGAUGAUGAUAAUAAUAAUAAUAAUAAUAAUAAUAAUUCUUUUGAAUGAAGGAGAUAGAGUAGAUACUUAGUAUUCUGGAUUUAAUUUUCUAGGUUGCAAGCAUCCUUGAAAGUCUAUCAUGUGGUAACUUGUAAUUUGCAGAGGAAUAAAUUUAAAUUGCAGACAAAUAAAUAGUGAUUGCUAAUUUAAAGUAUUGUAAAUAUACCUUCACGGUAGCCCAUUUUAAUAAUUCCUGGAAAAGGAAACAUGCUGUGGAAAUUGCUUACUCUUUGAUCUUGAAAUUUGUGCAUAGUAUCCCUUUAUAAUGUACAUAAAUUAUUGCUUGUUUAUAUCAAUUUUAGCAGGCUUAAUGGGAUGUCCAUUGUUAGUGAAUUCACUGUCACUAUAACUAGUUUAUAUUGAAGUUGUAACUAUAAUUAUUCUCUCUGGUGUCUUCUCUCAUCAUUGUUUUGUUUUUGGUUACCCAAUAUUCCUCAUCUUUUUAAACAUAUAUCCCUGUACUUCUUUUCUGAAUUACUUUUGCUUUCCCAGAGACCUUCCUUCAUCUAUUAUCCUCUCCCAUAAUUACAGCUUCUCCAUCCCCAGUAGCUUUCUUCCUUCAGCACCUCUGCCACCAUCUAAUAGGAGAAUCUUCCUCUAAUCAUUGUCUUCUUGUAGCCAUUUCCCAAGUCUUUUCCUUCUCUUCACAGAAGCAUUUUGAAAAUGGCUUCAGCAAUCAUCUCAAAUUCUUUAUUCCCAUUGUUUUCUUAAUUCAUUUUAUCUGAUUUCCAUUCAUAGUACAAUGAAACUGUUCUUGCAGUGAUCUCAAGAAGGAGAUAUUCUACUACUAGAUCUCUCUGUAGCAUUUGACUCAGUCCAUCAAUCCAGUUGUGGUUUGUGUUUUAACUUGGGAUUUCUUUCCUGAGCUGCCACUCUAUAUGCUCAUCUGAGUGUCUGUUAUACCUAGAUGUGCCGUAACAUCUCAAUGUGUGCAAAAAUGAACUCCUUCUCCUGUUGUGUCUGCUUUUUUUUUUUCCUGAUGAGUUCAGUAAAGAGAAGUGCAAUCAAAACCAAUAAUACCUCCCUAGUUAUCCUUUCAAAUUCAAUGAGAUCUAAUCCAGUUUUACUUUAAUUCUUCUUUUUGUCCUAAUUCCAAGGCCUUAUUGUUUUCCUCCACAAAUGCCUCAUCACUAAGGCUGAUCUUAGUCUCUAGAUAUUUAAUCUCUUCCUCACUUCUCCCAAAUGUUUAUUUUCUGAAGCAUCUUUGGUUAUCUUAUUCCUGCAUUUGAAAUCUUUCAUUGCUUUUCAAUUAUGUUAGAGAUGAAAUAUAUGUAAGAGUAUGACACAAUGUGUCUUAAGAAAGUGGCUCAAGACAUCAUCACAUUAGGAAGCAGAGAGAGAAAGAUGGACUCCACUUGCCAGAUAUACAAUAUACAACACAAAGGCACCCCCAGUGCCCACCUUCUUCAGCCACACCCUACCUGCCUUCAGUUACCACUCAGUUAAUCCCCAUCAGCAGGGGCUGGGGUUGUGGCUCAGUGGUAGAAUGUUCACCUAGUAUGCACAAGGCACUGGGUUUCAUCCUUAGCACCACAUAAAUGUAAAAUAAAGAUAUUGUGUUACCUAAAACUAAAAAAUAAAUAUUAAAAAAUCCCAUCAGCAUAUUAAUUCACUAAUGAGUUAAGUCUCUCAACCCAAUCAUUUCACCUCUGAAUAUUCUUGUCUUGCUUCACAUAGAAGGUUUUGGAGGAUACCUCAUAUCUAAACCACAACAAUGCCAUUUUAUAAUGUGGCCCCAGUAUUUCUGUCUAACCACAGUUCUUGUUUCCCUUGUGUACUGGCCGACUUUAGAUCAGGUCUUAGGAGGCAUUCCACUCUCCACCUUGCAUGCUACCCUCUUUUCCCAUCUUACCUUUCCUUCUCACUAUCCCCUGCUCUGUUCUCAUAUUUCAGUCCUGAUGUGUGACUGCCAUGUCUUUGCUUUAUUUUCCUGUUCACUCAUCUAACAUUGUCAUCCUUCCUCUGUCAUUUUUUAUGGCUCUGAUUAAUUUUUAAAAAUAUUUUUAGUUGUAGACGGACACAAUAUCUUUAUUAAGUGGUGCUGGUAAUGAUUUGUGUUGAGUCUUGCUGUACUGUAUGUAAUCUCCCUGACAAGAAUUGUGUUUUAUCUUGUAUCUCAACAACUAGACUAUGCCUCUGGAAUAUACUUAAUAAACUUU
ensembl:lincRNA